rnacentral:rRNA from 1 species
GACGUAGGGCGCGAGCGUUGUCCGGAUUUAUUGGGCGUAAAGAGCUCGUAGGCGGCUUGUCACGUCGGGUGUGAAAGCCCGGGGCUUAACCCCGGGUCUGCAUUCGAUACGGGCUAGCUAGAGUGUGGUAGGGGAGAUCGGAAUUCCUGGUGUAGCGGUGAAAUGCGCAGAUAUCGGAAGGAACAUCAGUGGCGAAAGCGACUUCCUGGACCAGUACCGACGUUCAGGCACGAAAGCGUGGGGAGCAAACAGG